CCUACGGGCGGCAGCAGUCGGGAAUAUUGCGCAAUGGAGGAAACUCUGACGCAGUGACGCCGCGUGCAGGAAGAAGGUUUUCGGAUUGUAAACUGCUUUAGACAGGGAAGAAAAAAGACAGUACCUGUAGAAUAAGCUCCGGCUAACUACGUGCCAGCAGCCGCGGUAAUACGUAGGGAGCAAGCGUUAUCCGGAUUUACAGGGUGUAAAGGGAGCGUAGACGGUUAUGCAAGUCUGAAGUGAAAGCCCAAGGCUCAACCAUGGGACUGCUUUGGAAACUGUAAAACUGGAGUGCAGGAGAGGUAAGCGGAAUUCCUAGUGUAGCGGUGAAAUGCGUAGAUAUUAGGAGGAACACCAGUGGCGAAGGCGGCUUACUGGACUGUAACUGACGUUGAGGCUCGAAGGCGUGGGGAGCAAACAGGAUUAGAUACCCUUGUAGUC
rnacentral:rRNA from 1 species